AAGUCGCUCUCUCCUAGCCGAAGGCCUCUCCCUCUAGCUCGACCUCCGUUCUCUCAAGCUCUCUAGUCUCACUCUUUGUUUCUCCCUUGAACUCCCCGAACCAGUCGAGAAAAAAAAACCCCUAUCUUCUAUUUGCUCUCUUUCUUUUAAGCUCGGCCAACGACAGAUGUGCAUGACUUCUGCCACCGCUAGCCUGUUGAGGCCACUUGAUCUCCGACCCUGGGAUCACGC
rnacentral:lncRNA from 1 species